UUGGUUGGAUCCUUCAAAGAAAGAUAAAUAGCAGGCUGCAUUUGAACAUUGGCGGCGAAAGGGAUCAGUGGAUGACAAAGUAAAGAUCACAACAACAAUGUCUUUUCCGAAGGCAAACAUCAAAAGAUUCAAUGAAGUGUCGGGAUGUGCUCCCCCUGUAGGAGCAUAUGACCCCAAACUUUCUUCCAAACAGACAGGGGGCCUUAUAGAUAAAUCAGAGAGGUUCAAGGCUCCACUAGAUUCAGGAUCAGAUGUUUUGGAUACACCAUCAAAGAAAAGGAUUCCUAAUGACUCAGUAUGCGGC